AGAUACCCCACUAUGCCUAGCCGUAAAAAAUUUAUUUACACUAAUAAGCGCCAGGGAAUUACGAGCGCAAGCUUAAAAUCCAAAGGAUUUGACGGUGUCCCACCCACCUAGAGGAGCCUGUUCUAUAAUCGAUAAUCCUCGAUAUACCCAACCAUUUCUUGCUUUUCAGCCUGUAUACCUCCGUCGUAAGCUUACCAUUUGAAUGUAAAAAAGUAAGUUUAAGGAUCAUUCAUCAACACGUCAGGUCAAGGUGCAGCCAAUGUAAUGGAAAGUAAUGGGCUACAAUUUCUAUAAUAGAACAAACGAAACACUGCAUGAAAAAUUAGUCAUGAAGGCGGAUUUAGUAGUAAAAAAAGAAUAGAGUGCUUUUUUUAACAAGGCCCUGGGACGUGUACACACCGCCCGU
rnacentral:rRNA from 1 species